rnacentral:rRNA from 1 species
GACGAACGCUGGCGGCGUGCUUAACACAUGCAAGUCGAACGGAAAGGCCCUGCUUUUGUGGGGUGCUCGAGUGGCGAACGGGUGAGUAACACGUGAGUAACCUGCCCUUGACUUUGGGAUAACUUCAGGAAACUGGGGCUAAUACCGGAUAGGAGCUCCUGCUGCAUGGUGGGGGUUGGAAAGUUUCGGCGGUUGGGGAUGGACUCGCGGCUUAUCAGCUUGUUGGUGGGGUAGUGGCUUACCCAGGCUUUGACGGGUAGCCGGCCUGAGAGGGUGACCGGCGACAUUGGGACUGAGGUACGGCCCAGACUCCUACGGGAGGCAGCAGUGGGGAAUAUUGCACAAUGGGCGGAAGCCUGAUGCAGCAACGCCGCGUGCGGGAUGACGGCCUUCGGGUUGUAAACCGCUUUCGCCUGUGACGAAGCGUGAGUGACGGUAAUGGGUAAAGAAGCACCGGCUAACUACGUG